UUUAUUCCCCAUCUUUUAAAUUGCAAAGUGGGAUACAUUGGCGAAUAUUGUGAUAUCAGAUGUCAGUAUCCUUACUAUGGAAUGCGAUGUCAGAUGAAGUGCAGUCCUAGUCACAGUAAAGACCAGUACGAUUUCAAAACAGGCUGUGUUCAAAAGGAAAUAAUGUCUCCUUCACCAACUAUGAAUUACUUUACGGAACUCCGACGAGAAGAUUCAGAUGAAUCUACAAUGAACCCACUAAGUAUGUCUAAUCAUAAUUUGAAAUGCAUGUUCUCAAUUUGGAAAGUUGUGUGAAUUUAUAAUUUCAUGUAUACAACAGGAUAUUUUUUCUACACAUGGAUGCAUAUGCUGUUGGAAGACUCAGAGUGAAGUCAUUCCAUAUUCUAACAGAAGAAAACGAAACUGUUCAUAUAGGAACUUGAUCUGCACUGGGGAAAUAUUACUGUAGAUUAUGAUGAAGAGGUGACGACAACGAACAUUGAUCAAAUAUCAUGAUUCCUAUAAAGAAUACAAAAUUAAGAGUGGGCAAUAAUGGGCUCCUGGAUACACCAGAUGUGGGAUCAGGUACAGGAAGAGUAAUCAUCCCCUUUUAACUAGCUCUACCCAUUGUGAGCCCAUAACCUCUAGUAGAAAUCAGAGUGAAAACAGCGGCCUAGCAAUUAGUAUGAAUCAAGUUAGACAGUAUCUAACCCAAUGACAUUGGUAAAUAUUGAACUCAAUAUUGAAAUUGAGGAGGGAUGCAUAAUUUUAAAAUAUUCGGAAGAUAAUGAGAUGCUAUUUCAAAUAUUUUUUUUUAAUAAAUGAAAUGUAAGCUUAGGAAGUUUUUACUGAUGUAUAGGUUUAAUUAUUUUGUAUAUGUGCACAUUAUAUUCUUAAAAUGCAUGCUUCACCUUUAAACACAUUUAAUAUUCCAGUUGUUCGGAUUUAUUGAUGGGAGUUGUCGUAUCUACAAAUGUAUACUGGUUUCCUAAAUUUUACGUAAACUCUUACAAACAUAGAUGUAUCCAAUAAAUGUUCUACAAAGCCUCUAUCUUUGCUCCUCACGGAAAUAUUAGCUGUUAUAAGGGUGAAAACCAGAAGUGGUGCAAUUCGCUUCAAGAUCCAGGGACCGUCGAGUGAGCUAAAAAAAAAUACCAAACUUUUCGCUUUACGAUGUUUACAAUUAUUUUUUUUUUAUAUAAAACAACAAUAUAUGGCCAGAGGACAUUGGAAGCAUACAUUACAAAUCUUGUGAAGAUUACAGAUUUUUAUUCGAUAGCUAUGUUUAGCAGCUGGAAAUGGAAGAACUUGUGGAUCCUGUGUGAAGCCAACGCAGACAGAGAAGACUUACCUACAUAUGUAAAUAAAACAGCUAAUGGUGUUUGGGUUCUCAUGAGUAAACUUGGAAAUGUAAAAUGUGCUUACUGCACAUCCAUUGGUGGCUCUGCACAUGCUGUUACAAGUAACAAGUCAAGUAUAAACUGGUAUAUAAACUUAGCUAACGGAAUAAUCGAAAAAAGCAUAAAGACAGGAACUGGUUUAAUAUGACUAGUAAGUUUUAUUCCAAGAUGUUUGAUGUUGUCAUGAAUUGAUUGAUUGUUGACAGAUUGUAGAUUAUUUGAUUAAAUGAACAUUUGACACAAAAGAUACAGGUAGGACGCGAUGCAUAAUUAUAAGGCUAUUAUAUCUGUUCUCUGAGUGUUAAAUUUGAAUGCAUUUAUGUUUUCUUUUAACAUGUUCAAAUAAGUUUUAUGUAACCCAUGGGUAACCAGUUUUUAAAAGAAAUGUUGAUUCAGAAAUAAUAAUGAUGUAGACCCACCUGCAACGGUUACAGUUUGCCAGAGAUUAAUUUUCCAAAUGGAGCAAAUUAUUUUACUACUGACAAAACUUUCAACUACAGGUAAUGCAGGUGUGGAAUAUCCCCAGUCUGAUGCACAUAAGUUUGACCCUCGCAGUGUCGAUCAGAGAGAGGGUUCCUCGUGAAUGGAAAUCAGUGAAAAGGCAAGGAGUCUUCGAGAGAUAUCCCCAAAUCUACAGUCCCUUGAUAUGCUGGAGGUACAAAAACCUGUGCAGAAUGACAAGGGAGGUGACUGUGAUCAACCGUAUCCAAAAUGUACUGCUUUUACCUGACCAUACAUGUUGAAGAAAAUUAUAUCUAGCACUGCAAAUAAACCUGUGAAUUUAUGUAUCAUUUCCAAUGACAAUAUUGCACACGUUGAAGCAUGCAAGAGUGAGCAAUAUGACAGCAAGAUUUGGUACGAAUUCAGGAAAGGCAGAUUGACUGCACCCGAGUUUAAUAAAGUCUGCAAAUCAGUUGAUGGAAACAAAAUGUCCACCUUCACUUCUUAGAAUUAUUUUAGGUAAAUGUGUUGCUUGUGCGGAUUUUAGUCCAGAGUUUUUUGAAAGGAUCCUUAGCAAAUUUGAAUAAUUUUCCAUGCAUCAUGUGAAAAAGUGACUAUCUUUAAUGCAACAGUAAAUGCUGAUGUGCCUACACAAUUAGAUCACAUUGAAGUUUGAUCAGAUAUAGCGUUGUUGUAGCAUCCAAGGUUUAGUGUAAAUAUCUAUAAUUCAAACAGUUACAUUGCAUA